rnacentral:lncRNA from 1 species
AAAAAGUAAAGAAAUUAAGCUUAAGAAAAUUAUGUGGCAGCUCACACAAAGGUAUGUUUUCUCUGCAGUAUGCAUGUCUGGUGCACUUCAGGGUCUCUUUCAGCAUAAACUGCAGUGUUCUUUAAUCUUCUAGGGAGCUGCUACACAACUUCUCAUUGCUCACGAGAACUAAAAGGAAGAUUCUCUACCAGAGAAAAAGAUGCACUGCCAGAACAAGAAUGAAGAUUCAGCAGAGACAAAGAUGAAUUACCAAAGGAGGAAGAUUACAUGACUUGAAAUGGGAAAGUAUUAUAAAUACGAAAAAGGUAUAAGUAAAUAACAAACCUAAAAGAACUUAGCCAUUAAAACAAAAAACUCAUUGACCUAAAACCACCGUUAAGUUUUGAAAAAAAUUUCAGAAGAGUUAUAUAUGGCCAGUCUAUAGUGACAAAUGAAAGUGUCCAUUCGUAAUUGCCCUGUGGUGCCAACUCUUCUCUUCAGUAGAAGUUUGGUUCCAGUUAGGUGUCAUCUUCAUCCUUCCUCUGAGUUGAGCAGUAGCAGCCUGUAAUGUUAGAACUAGUGAACUCUAGCCCAGAUCACCACUUGACAGUACAGAACUGCACAGAUGAUUAACUUAAAUCUACCUAGGAUGAGGUAUUUAAAAAGCUCCUCUAUUCCAUCUUCUGUGUCAGAAUUCGAUCUGACGAGACUAUUGCUAUAGCCAUACAGGCAUCAGACUUAUGGCAUUGUGCUGGAAAAUCACAUUUGACCCUGGAGGUAAGCACUUAAAUUAACAAUCUAUUUCCACAGAGUUGGGUGACACAUUUGAAAAAAAAAACACAGUUUAAGUUGUCUGUAUCAGUUCCUCUGGGACCACCCUGCAUUUCCUGGCCUUCUUACAAGACCAAUACCUGUUAAGUUAUGUGCAUGUGUCCUAUGACUUCCUGAAGCAAGGCAGUGCAGCAGCUGAGAGGAGGCUCUGUUGAGCAAAAUCAGUAAUUCAUGUUUAGUAGCCAAGUUAUUUCUCAAAGCAUAUUCUGAUUUGCUAACUAUAAAUUGCAACUUUAGCUAAUAAAAAUAUGCAGUGACACUUGGCAUUAGACUAGAGAUACCUCUCAGCAGAUUUUCCAGGUCAAUUAUUUGUCUCCGCUUACCAGUAUUUUUGCUAACUGUAUUCUCUUGCCAUCUUUUAAGUUGUUGUUGAAAAGGACCACUGGUGGUCAGCUAGACUGACCUCCUGCUUUAAAUGUGAACAUUUCAAAGCCUUCUCAGGUGAUAGCUGACCACCAUUAUAGCCAAAAUGAUCCAAUUUUAACCUCUUUCAGCAUGAACAUGGUGUUUCAUUACAAUCAACCUGGUCUCCCACAUAAUAAUCUGUUAUAUCAAUCAUCUGACAGUUCCAAGAAGAGCUUGGCUCUGCUUUAGCUGUACUACCCUUCCAACAGCUGCAGGCUGCUCCUAGCUCUCUCCUGAGCUUCUUCCUUGCCAGACUGAGUGAGCUGAACUUUCUCACUGUUUCAUUUAUUUAUCAUCUCAGGCUGUUCAAUAGCUUUCAUGUGCUUCUACUUGCACAGGGAAUUGUUCUUUGAAUUUCUUCCCAGUCUUUUCUUCUUCCUUUGUGUUCUUCAACAUAUCAAACAUAAAAAUUACUUUAGUCUUCUGUAUUAUUCUUGCAAGAUUUCCAUUCUUGCCUUUCAUGGAGGACAACUGUAAAGAACAAUUAGAUGUUAUCAUAAUGUUUCGUCACUAAAAAUUCUAGAACCUCAACUAUUUACUUCUUCAUGUUGCUAAAACAACUUCUUUGCUCUUUUAUAGGGAUCACUAACGAGAGUUAGUCAUUUAAGCAAGCACACAAAGCAUACACACCUUUGGAAGUCAAUGCAAUAUCACUGAUUAAUGCUUUUCUAAUGUUGAAACAAACAACUGAAUCCACAUUUAGCCAGUGUGUUUUAAAAACUACCCUAGAUGCUUAUUUCACUGUAGGUAAACUGAAAGGAUGAAUUGCUUUCUGGUAGUUGAAUUUGGUAUUUCUGUAGACACUCCAAGAAAAAGGGGUAUAAGCCCCAUGGAAAUGUGGAUUUCAAAUGCACACAAUCUACAGAACAGGGCUUUUGAUUUUUUUUUUUUAUUAUUUAAAGCUAAUUAGGAGGUGAGGCUGCAAUCCACCUUACUUCUUGUUGCUGUGAAAGUAGACUAAAAUCAUUUAACUCACCAAUUGCACGUUUAACUCACCAAUUG